UUAGAGGCAAACGGGUGGACCCGCAAUACGUCGACCCGGGGGAUUCAACCAGGCCGUGCGUUCGGGACGCGUGGGGGUUAUGCGGAGCUGUAAAGCCCGUGCCUUUGCGUAGGUCUCCGGGCGGACUGGUGCACUUUCCUCGGGUUGAUAGCCACGACCGGCUCUCCGUGCGGCCACAAGCCUUUUGCUGGGAAGGUGACCGUCGGCCUCCGCGCCGGCGGUGUUAUAGCCCAGCUUGUUCGUUGAGCUCGUCGGAGGGCCGAGGAAGUGUUGCCGUUUCUCAGCCACCCUCCGGCCAUCCUUGCUCGUCACGACUGGGGUGAACUGCUUCGUCAGUGCUCUCCCGACCGCGAGCGUAGGAAGGGCUGGUACGGUGCGAGAAAGCUUCGGGCCAGUGGCGAAUCGGUCGGUCCUCCACCCGACCCGUCUUGAA
rnacentral:rRNA from 1 species